rnacentral:lncRNA from 1 species
AAAAAAUCUUAGCUGAAAGUUAAGAAUGGGUGGAUCACAAAAGGUAAAUUUUCUUCUGGAGUCAUGGGAUGACCAGGUCUUUUUUUAGGGGAAGAAAGAAAAGCACAAAUGUGAUGCCACGUUCAGAACAGGCAGUUCAGCUGGGACUUACUGCUCCUUGACCCAGAUAUACAGAAGUGCUUGUACUGUUGAAGUGUUACAUGGAGAGCACAGAGCUCUUUGGAUGGAGAAACUAAGAAGAUUCGCUGCCACCAAUCUUGCUUGUCUUGCAUUCGCAUUCACUGCUGUCUCCAGUCUAAGGACAGACCCCAAGCUGCUGUACCAUGGACUCUGCCCUAACCCCUGCCAGACCAGAGCUGUCAGGGAUGUGGGAUGUGGCGGAGGACAGUCCUGACAAAAGAAUUCCAAGUGCCACCACUGAUCCACAUUGGCAAGCUGUUACAGAAGCAUCUGUGCCAGCCUGGUGGCACUGACCAGUAUGUAGCACAAGAUUCGAGUGUUACUGUGUUUGUCCUCACUAAAUCUUCUAAGCAAGAUGGUGAAGUGUUCAGAUAUGUUUACUCCUUCAUCCCUUGAGUAGGAUGCCAGCCAGGAGAGGUAAGGUAGGGGUUCUUAUUUUCCUGUCUUGGUGCAGGGAGAGCCUUUGAUCAGGGAGGCUCUUGGGAUCAUCUCUUGCAGUGCCUUUCAGCCUUUCCCUAAUUACUCAGUGUUUUCCUGCUGGUGGUCCCACCCUGUGGCUCCAGCACAAUCAGGAGGACACUCCUGUUUUCUGAGAACUGAGGAAAGAGCAGCAGGCACCAACAAAAAACUAUCUCCCAUGGUCAAGUAAGUAGCAUGGGUUGAGGCAGGAAGAUACAGACCCCAGGUUUUUACUUGGUUAUGUGGAAAGGAAUUUCUUCUUGUAAACUUUUAUCUAUCCCAAAGGUGACUUGAAAGUUUGGCAACACUCUUGCCAAAGCCAAAAUUAUUCCCAAAUUGUGAAAUACAAAAUGUAUUUGCAUUUUAAUUUGCAUUCUGUUUUUUUUUUUUUUGCUUUUUUUUUUUUUUUACUUUCGUAUUUCGAAGUCCCCACGACUCCUACGACUAGAAACAUGAAAAUUAUUCUUAUCAUCAGUACUACUGCUGCUCGUAACAAUAAUACAUAAAAGCUAAGAUUCUUAGAUAAUAAACAAAUUUCAUGAGCUGUGAGCA